rnacentral:rRNA from 1 species
GUCGAACGCUGGCGGCGCGCCUAACACAUGCAAGUCGAACGGAGUCAAGAGGAGCUUGCUUUUCUUGACUUAGUGGCGAACGGGUGAGUAACGCGUGAGUAACCUGCCCUGGAGUGGGGGACAACAGUUGGAAACGACUGCUAAUACCGCAUAAGCCCACGGAUCCGCAUGGAUCUGCGGGAAAAGGAUUUAUUCGCUUCAGGAUGGACUCGCGUCCAAUUAGCUAGUUGGUGAGGUAACGGCCCACCAAGGCGACGAUUGGUAGCCGGACUGAGAGGUUGAACGGCCACAUUGGGACUGAGACACGGCCCAGACUCCUACGGGAGGCAGCAGUGGGGGAUAUUGCACAAUGGGGGAAACCCUGAUGCAGCGACGCCGCGUGGAGGAAGAAGGUUUUCGGAUUGUAAACUCCUGUCGUUAGGGACGAUAAUGACGGUACCUAACAAGAAAGCACCGGCUAACUACGUG